rnacentral:rRNA from 1 species
AUUGAGCGCUGGCGGCAUGCCUUACACAUGCAAGUCGAACGGCAGCAUGAUCUAGCUUGCUAGAUUGAUGGCGAGUGGCGCACGGGUGAGUAAUACAUCGGAACGUGCCCUGUAGUGGGGGAUAACUAGUCGAAAGAUUAGCUAAUACCGCAUACGACCUGAGGGUGAAAGUGGGGGACCGCAAGGCCUCAUGCUAUAGGAGCGGCCGAUGUCUGAUUAGCUAGUUGGUGAGGUAAAGGCUCACCAAGGCGACGAUCAGUAGCUGGUCUGAGAGGACGAUCAGCCACACUGGGACUGAGACACGGCCCAGACUCCUACGGGAGGCAGCAGUGGGGAAUUUUGGACAAUGGGCGAAAGCCUGAUCCAGCAAUGCCGCGUGUGUGAAGAAGGCCUUCGGGUUGUAAAGCACUUUUGUCCGGAAAGAAAUGGCUCUGGUUAAUACCUGGGGUCGAUGACGGUACCGGAAGAAUAAGGACCGGCUAACUACGUG